AUUGAACGCUGGCGGCAGGCCUAACACAUGCAAGUCGAGCGGAGCGGCGGACGGGUGAGUAAUGCCUAGGAAUCUGCCUGGUAGUGGGGGAUAACGUCCGGACACGGGCGCUAAUACCGCAUACUAUCAGAUGAGCCUAGGUCGGAUUAGCUAGUGGGUGGGGUAAAGGCCUACCAAGGCGACGAUCCGUAACUGGUCUGAGAGGAUGAUCAGUCAAACUGGAACUGAGACACGGUCCAGACUCCUACGGGAGGCAGAGGAGGGGAAUAUUGGACAAUGGGAGAAAGCCUAAUGCAGCCAUGCCGCGGAUGUGAAGAAGGUCUUCGGAUGGUAAAGCACUUUAAGUUGGGAGGCGUUACCAACAGAAUAAGCACCGGCUAACUACGUGCCAGCAGCCGCGGUAAUUC
rnacentral:rRNA from 1 species